rnacentral:rRNA from 1 species
CCUACGGGGGGCAGCAGUGAGGAAUAUUGGUCAAUGGGCGGAAGCCUGAACCAGCCAAGUCGCGUGAGGGAAUAAGGCCCUACGAGUCGUAAACCUCUUUUGCCGGGGAGCAAGAGCGGGGACGUGUCCCGGCCCGGAGAGUACCCGGAGAACAAGCAUCGGCGAACUCCGUGCCAGCAGCCGCUGUAAUCCGGAGGAUGCGAGCGUUCUCCGGAUUUAUUGGGUUUAAAGGGUGCGUAGGCGGGCUUUUACGGUAGCGGUAAAAAUGCGGGGCUCAACCCCGGCCGGCCGGUGAAACUGGAGGCCUUGAGUGGGCGAGAAGAAGGCGGAAUGCGUGGUGUAGCGGUGAAAUGCAUAGAUAGCACGCAGAACCCCGAUUGCGAAGGCAGCCUUCCGGCGCCCUACUGACGCUGAGGCACGAAAGUGCGGGGAUCGAACAGGAUUAGAUACCCCAGUAGUC